CAGUCGCCGCGGUAAUACGAAGGGUGCAAGCGUUAAUCGGAAUUACUGGGCGUAAAGCGUGCGUAGGCGGUGAGUUAAGUCUGCUGUGAAAUCCCCGGGCUCAACCUGGGAAUGGCAGUGGAUACUGGCUCGCUAGAGUGUGUCAGAGGAUGGUGGAAUUCCCGGUGUAGCGGUGAAAUGCGUAGAGAUCGGGAGGAACAUCAGUGGCGAAGGCGGCCCCCUGGACAAAGACUGACGCUCAGGUGCGAAAGCGUGGGGAGCAAACAGGAUUAGAGACCCCAGUAGUCCCUGUCUCUUAUAC
rnacentral:rRNA from 1 species